GGUUUGAACUCAGAUCAUGUAAAAUAUUAAAGGUCGAACAGACCUAAUCUUUUAGCUUCUACACCAAAAUUUAAUUUUAAUCCAACAUCGAGGUCGCAAACUUCUUUUUCGAUUUGAACUCUUUAAAGAAAUUACGCUGUUAUCCCUAAGGUAAUUUAAUCUUAUAAUCAUAAAUAAUGGAUCAAAAAUUCAUAAAUUAAUGUUUUUAUUAAAAAAAAGUUUAUUAAAUUUUUCCAUCACCCCAAUAAAAUAAAUAUUAUUAUAAAAAAUUAUAAAAUUCUAAAAAUUUUAAAUAACAAAACCUAUAAAACUCUAUAGGGUCUUCUCGUCUUUUAAAAUUAUUUAAGCUUUUUGACUUAAAAAUAAAAUUCUAAUAAAUUCAAUUUGAGACAGUAUUUUUCUCGUUCAACCAUUCAUUCCAGCUUUCAAUUAAAAAACUAAUUAUUAUGCUACCUUCGCACGGUCAAAGUACCGCGGCCAUUCAAAAAUCAGUGGGCAGGUCAGACUUUAAAUUAAAAUCAAAAAGACAUGUUUUUGAURAACAGGCG
rnacentral:rRNA from 1 species